ACUGCACCAGCUGCGGGGUCCUGCACCAUGACAUCAAACCAGAGAACAUCCUGGUUGACCUGGCCACCGGGCAGGCCAAAUUGAUUGACUUUGGCUGUGGCACCUACCUGCAAGAGACAGCCUACACUCACUUUGCAGGAACACCAUCAUACAGCCCCCCGGAAUGGACCCGCUUUGGCUGGUACCAUGGCGAGCCAGCUACCAUCUGGUCCCUGGGCAUCCUGCUGCACGAGAUGGUCUGUGGGAAGAUGCCUUUCAGGAGGGGCUGGAACUUCAGCUGGGGCCAGCUCUCACUGCCACAACGGCUCUCUCCAGAGUGCCAAAAUCUGAUUGGGUGGUGUUUAUCCAUGCACCCCUUGGCCAGACCCUCAUUAGAAGAGGUGUUCUGUCAUCCUUGGAUGCAGGAUAUUCAUCUGCCCUAGAAGAAGGGAGAGAGCCACAGGCACACUGUGCUGCAGGGCCCUGGGAAGGAGAAGGAGCCCCCAGAGAAGCUGUACCGGGUGGGGCUGCUGCUGCAGGAGACAGCGAGGAUGACAUCAAGGAUGACAUGAAGGAUGACAACCUCUUCCUCAACCUGGCCACCAGCAGUUGAAGAGGAAGCAUUCUGGUUGGUCCAGUCUGGAUCGGGAAGUGCUUGGGAGCAGCUGUGGCGUGGAUGGGCCGUGCCCUUGGAGCAGGCUGAGGACAUCGUUUGGGACCAGCUUUUCUUCCAGCCAUGGAUGGCAUGAGCCGGGCUCUGCGGAUGCUGAGGCUGCUCUGGGCUCUGCCAGGGCUCUGCUGGAGCUCAGCACCGGGCCGGAAUCAGCCAAAGAAGAAAUGGUGUCACCUGCAGCACAGACUUGCUUGAGCAUUUUGGCAACACAGCUCAAGUUUGCAGAGUGACACCUCCCAAAAAUUAAACU